CAGCAGCCGCGGGAACACAGAGGGUGCGAGCGUUAAUCGGAUUUACUGGGCGUAAAGCGUGCGUAGGCGGCUUUUUAAGUCGGAUGUGAAAUCCCUGAGCUUAACUUAGGAAUUGCAUUCGAUACUGGGAAGCUAGAGUAUGGGAGAGGAUGGUAGAAUUCCAGGUGUAGCGGUGAAAUGCGUAGAGAUCUGGAGGAAUACCGAUGGCGAAGGCAGCCAUCUGGCCUAAUACUGACGCUGAGGUACGAAAGCAUGGGGAGCAAACAGGAUUAGAUACCCGGGUAGUCCCUGUCUCUUAUAC
rnacentral:rRNA from 1 species